AUCGCAAGACCUUGCGCUUUUGGAGCGGCCGAUGUCUGAUUAGCUAGUUGGUGGGGUAAUGGCUUACCAAGGCUUCGAUCAGUAGCUGGUCUGAGAGGACGACCAGCCACACUGGGACUGAGACACGGCCCAGACUCCUACGGGAGGCAGCAGUGGGGAAUUUUGGACAAUGGGGGAAACCCUGAUCCAGCCAUGCCGCGUGAGUGAAGAAGGCCUUCGGGUUGUAAAGCUCUUUCAGCCGGAACGAAAAGGUCACGGCUAAUACCCGUGACAAAUGACGGUACCGGAAGAAGAAGCACCGGCUAACGUGCCAGCAGCCGCGGUAAUACGUAGGGUGCAAGCGUUAAUCGGAAUUACUGGGCGUAAAGCGUGCGCAGGCGGUUUUGUAAGUCAGAUGUGAAAUCCCCGGGCUUAACCUGGGAACUGCGUU
rnacentral:rRNA from 1 species